GUGGGGAAUAUUGGGCAAUGGGCGAAAGCCUGACCCAGCAACGCCGCGUGAAGGAAGAAUGUCUUCGGAUCGUAAACUUCUAUCCUUGGUGAAGAUAAUGACGGUAGCCGAGAAGGAAGCCCCGGCUAACUACGUGCCAGCAGCCGCGGUAAUACGUAGGGGGCAAGCGUUGUCCGGAACGAUUGGGCGUAAAGGGCGCGUAGGCGGCCUGGUAAGUCUGGAGUGAAAGUCCUGCUUUUAAGGUGGGAAUUGCUUUGGAGACGGUCGAGAUUGAGUGCAUGAGAGGUAAGUGGAAUUCCCGGGGUAGCGGUGAAAUGCGUAGAGAUCGGGAGGAACACCAGUGGCGAAGGCGACUUACUGGACUGUAACUGACGCUGAGGCGCGAAAGUGUGGGGAGCAAACAGGAUUAGAUACCCCAGUAGUCC
rnacentral:rRNA from 1 species